rnacentral:rRNA from 1 species
AACGAACGCUGGCGGCAUGCUUAACACAUGCAAGUCGAACGCUUCUCGGGGCUUCGGCCCCGGGGGGAGUGGCGCACGGGUGAGUAGCGCGUGGGAACCUGCCCUGGAGUGGGGGAUAACCGAGGGAAACUUCGGCUAAUACCGCAUGCGCCCGCUGGAGUGAUCUGGCGGGGAAAGAUUUAUCGCUCUAGGAGGGGCCCGCGUCGGAUUAGCUUGUUGGUGGGGUAACGGCCUACCAAGGCGAUGAUCCGUAGCUGGUCUGAGAGGAUG